rnacentral:rRNA from 1 species
GACAGCAGCCGCCGCGGGAAUACGUAGGUCCCGAGCGUUGUCCGGAUUUAUUGGGCGUAAAGGGAGCGCAGGCGGUUUAGUAAGUCUGAAGUUAAAGGCAUUGGCUCAACCAAUGUAUGCUUUGGAAACUGUUAGACUUGAGUGCAGAAGGGGAGAGUGGAAUUCCAUGUGUAGCGGUGAAAUGCGUAGAUAUAUGGAGGAACACCGGUGGCGAAAGCGGCUCUCUGGUCUGUCACUGACGCUGAGGCUCGAAAGCGUGGGUAGCGAACAGGAUUAGAUACCCCAGUAGUCCCUGUCUCUUAUACA